rnacentral:rRNA from 1 species
AACGAACGCUGGCGGCAUGCCUAACACAUGCAAGUCGAACGAGGCCCUUCGGGGUUUAGUGGCGCACGGGUGCGUAACGCGUGGGAAUCUGCCCUUUGGUUCGGAAUAACAGCUGGAAACGGCUGCUAAUACCGGAUGAUGACGAAAGUCCAAAGAUUUAUCGCCAGAGGAUGAGCCCGCGUUGGAUUAGGUAGUUGGUGGGGUAAAGGCCUACCAAGCCGACGAUCCAUAGCUGGUCUGAGAGGAUGAUCAGCCACACUGGGACUGAGACACGGCCCAGACUCCUACGGGAGGCAGCAGUGGGGAAUAUUUUUUAAUGGGCGCAAGCCUGAUCCAGCAAUGUCGCGGGAGUGAUGACGGCCCUAGGGUUGUAAAGCUCUUUUACCCGGGAAGAUAAUGACUGUACCGGGAGAAUAAGCCCCCGGCU